UAAAAUUAUCCAAGAUAUUUGCGAACAGUAUGAAUUGAGAUCAUAUUUAAAAUUGGGUAAAAUAUUUAAGUUGCGAUUUAUUGAAUUUGAUUAGUUUGAUUUCGCUUUUAAAUUAAAGCCGUAAUUAUUAUAAUUUUAUUUUUACAACCUCUUUAGUAAACGUUCGCAAGAAUCAUGGUAAAAGUGUAGAAAAUAUUUUAUCACUCGAGUUAACGCUGUUUCCAAGACGUCAAAUAAUCACAUUAUACGUCAUAUUAUUGUUUCAUUAUAUGUUUUGAAAAUUCCACAGUUUUUAUUUCUCUGUCUCGCUAAUUUUCAUAUCAGUCUACUUGCUUGCCCAUUGCUUCAGACUAUGUUUAUAUUUUCCUUUAUUUGCAGGAAAACUCGCACGCUCUAAAAUUAUCUGUGCUCCGUCAUAGCUUAAACAUGUAAACGAAAGUAAUUGUUCAAAUUACUAGUGUAAUUAAUUUUAUUUUCAUAGCCUGCUCGUCGAAAGUCCACGAAGAUCCUGGUAAAGAUACGAAAAUUGUAAAAGUAGAGAAUUUGUAACAUAUUUGAUCAUCUGAAUGGAUGGAUUAGUACAAAUUGAAAUGUCAUGUUUUCAUGGCAUUUUCCACUCUUUAAUCAGGGACAUUCCUGGAAAUAAUCGAGGCUCCCGAUUGCAAAUUACUGGCUGACAAAAAAGAGAGCGAUCUAGGGUUUUCUAAGAUUAGAGAGAUCCUUCGUACCUAAGAGAAAGGAGCAAAAUAUUUUUUGAAAAAUGAGGACGAUGCGUUCUUUUCGAUCGGGAAUAUAUUAAUAGAAAAUAACAAUACAUCUAACAGAUCACUAACAAAAUAAAAGCAUCGAUGAAAGACGUGAUGCAGCGUGUAAGGCGCAUUUUUCUCAAGAAGUUCAAGAACAGAAAAUGAAUAAAAGUUAGCAUUCUUGUCUCUCACUAUACUUUAUGUAUUAUUUAUAUUAUAUUUAUUACUAUAUUUUAUAGCGAUGAAGUAAAAAUUCAAUGGAAAGACUUUCGUCCCCCAUAUUUAAAAUUAACAUUAUUUAAAAGAUAAAAUCGGUCACUUUGAUAGAAUAAUAAUACAUAAAUGUAACUUACAGAAUAAUAAAUCUGAAAUAUAUGUACGAGUUAAAAGUGACUCAGCCUUCGCUGUACAUAACACCGCUUCUAGUUCAGAUAUUUAAGGACGCUUCCCAACUUGCUAAAUUAAUUCUAAAUGAGCGAUGUGAAUUUUGCUAACAAAGUACAAUUACUAUAAUCCUCAAAUAUUCCUUUGGAAGGAAGAUGGAAAAUCUACAAUGGAAUUUUUGUAUGAAUUAUUUUGGACUAUAAGCUUAUUGAAGGCUUCUUAGGCUUAUAAAAAUACAAAGAUAUUAACUUGUAAAACUAUAAAUAAUUAGAAGACAUAAAAACAAAGAUAUCCUGAACAUGGGAUGAGCAUAAGAAAAAAUUCUGACUAGGAAUCUAAAAUUUUGUAUCUAAUAAAACGUGCAGGACAUUUGUGCGUAACAGUAAUAUUAUUGAAUUUAAAAUCAAUCCUGCACUGAAAUCUCUCGAUGAUAAUAAAUAAGUGUCGAGAAAAUGCAGUAUCGGGGUAUUUAUAAAACAUAAUACGUACCUGAGUUACUUGCGCCCUGGUGGCAGAAAUAGGAAUUAAAAUUUUAAAUCACAUCAUUUCGCGCGCUGUCAUGUUGAAAGGUGGCAGCAUGAAUAGCAACUGCAGAGAAUUCGUGAAAAAUAUGAAAAUUUAACAUACAUCGACAUGUCAAUGCUUUAAAAUGGUGGAUAUCGAAAUAAAUUUCAAGAAAAUUCGAAUGGUAUCCGGGUACUGAUAGAAUAUAAUACGUUCCUGAGCCUGGAUACGUAACAAUUUUGAGUAAAAUAUUAUACAGAAAGGUUUUAAAUGUUAUCAUUGUCUUUUUGAAGUGUAAAAAAUAGUAGUUAAGUGCAGAAGUGUUACGAUAAACAAUUAUAUUAUUAGACAUAUUCAUAUUACAAUUGUAAGAUAUCAUCGCCUGUAUAUUAUGCAUAAUUUCAUAGUAAAUUUUAAUAUGUACUAAAAUGUAGCAGAAUAGCUAGGAAGGAUGCAUUUGAGUCUUAUUUAUAAUUAAUAGUUAGUAGCAUUUGAUCAAGAUCUUAGUAUUUCAUUGGAUAUUUACAUUCUUUGUAAAUAUCAUGUACUUGUACAUUUCAUAUUUAUUUUCUAUAUUACAUUGUUUAACUGUUAGCUAUUCUACAAUUCUCUUGACACUGUAUGAAACAGUGUCUCGCAUAGAUCCAUAUGAUUAGUUUAAAAUUUUAUUUUAAGAUUAGUUUCCCGCGUCGAUUUUCCUUAAAUCUUCUUUUAUUGUGUGUUUUGUAUAACGAUCUAAAAAUUGAAUAUUUUCCAAACGCAUAUUAAGAGGACGAUUUGUUUAUUUAUUAAUGUUUCAAGUACAGUUUAAAUGCUUGUUCAUAAGAGUAAGAUAGAUGGUGUCGUGGAUCCUUCCAUUCUCCUCCAUUUGUAGUACCUUUACAUGAUGAAAC